UGUCGCGGCAGCUGUACGCGGGAUACCUUCGGGUAUGCCGGAUUUGCUUCUUUAGCCGGUCGGUCAACCCGCGUAUAGCUGCCACCCUA
rnacentral:antisense_RNA from 1 species